rnacentral:rRNA from 1 species
GACAGAGGGUGCAAACGUUGUUCGGAAUCACUGGGCGUAAAGCGCGUGUAGGCGGCAAUGUAAGUCGGAUGUGAAAUCCCGCGGCUCAACCGUGGAAGUGCACCCGAAACUACAUAGCUAGAGUGUCGGAGAGGAAGGUGGAAUGCUUGGUGUAGAGGUGAAAUUCGUAGAUAUCAAGCGGAACACCGGUGGCGAAGGCGGCCUUCUGGACGACGACUGACGCUGAGACGCGAAAGCGUGGGUAGCAAACAGG